rnacentral:rRNA from 1 species
GCUGUAGCAAUACAGUUGUACAGUGGCGAACGGGUGAGGAAUACGUGGGUAACCUACCCUCGAGUGGGGAGUAACCCGCCGAAAGGCGGGCUAAUGCCGCGUACGCUUCCGGUCCUGCGGGGUCGGAAGGAAAGCCAUGCCGUGGGUAUGGCGCUCAAGGAUGGGCUCACGCCCUAUCAGCUUGUUGGUAGGGUAACGGCCUACCAAGGCAACGACGGGUAGCUGGUCUGAGAGGACGAUCAGCCACACUGGCACUGCGACACGGGCCAGACUCCUACGGGAGGCAGCAGUGAGGAAUAUUGCGCAAUGGGCGAAAGCCUGACGCAUCGACGCCGCGUGGGGGAUGAAGGUCUUCGGAUUGUAACCCCUUUCGGGAGGGAAGAUGGGACGGGCAACCGUUCGGACGGUACCUCCAGAAGCAGCCACGGCUAACUUCGUGCCAGCAGCCGCGGUAAUACGAAGGUGGCAAGCGUUGUUCGGAUUUACUGGGCGUACAGGGAGCGUAGGCGGUUUGGUAAGCCCUCCGGGAAAUCUUCGGGCUUAACCCGGAAGGUCGGAUGGGACUGCCAGGCUAGAGGACGGAGAGGAGCUCGGAAUUCCCGGUGUAGCGGUGAAAUGCGUAGAGAUCGGAGGAGGCCGGUGGCGACGCGACCUCUGGAACGUUCCUGACCUGACGCUCGAAACGUGGGGACAACAGGAUUCAUACCCUGGUAGUCCCGCCCUAACGAUCACACUACUGUAGCUUGUUACGUCCGUGCCCAGCUAGGCAUCAGUGUCCGCCAGGGAGUACGGCUCAGGUGAACUCAAGGAUUGACGGGG